rnacentral:rRNA from 1 species
UGCUAAUACCGCAUACGACCUUCGGGUGAAAGAUUUAUCGCCGAAGGAUCGGCCCGCGUUAGAUUAGGUUGUUGGUGGGGUAAAGGCCCUACCAAGCCUACGAUCUAUAGCUGUUCUGAGAGGAAGAUCAGCCACACUGGGACUGAGACACGGCCCAG